rnacentral:rRNA from 1 species
CCUACGGGAGGCAGCAGUAGGGAAUAUUGCUCAAUGGGGGAAACCCUGAUGCAGCAACGCCGCGUGGGGGAUGAAGGUCUUCGGAUUGUAAACUCCUUUUGUUAGAGAAGAUAAUGACGGUAUCUAACGAAUAAGCACCGGCUAACUCCGUGCCAGCAGCCGCGGUAAUACGGAGGGUGCAAGCGUUACACGGAAUCACUGGGCGUAAAGAGCGCGUAGGCGGGAUAGCAAGUCAGAUGUGAAAUCCUGUGGCUUAACCAUAGAACUGCAUUUGAAACUGUUAUUCUAGAGUACGGGAGAGGUAGGUGGAAUUCUUGGUGUAGGGGUGAAAUGCGUAGAGAUCAGGAGGAAUACUCGUGGCGAAGGCGACUUGCUAGAAGGUAACUGACGCUGAGGCGCGAAAGCGUGGGGAGCAAACAGGAUUAGAUACCCUUGUAGUC